AGUAAAAUUAUAUUGUUGGCUAAUAUUUUUUUAUGAAACAGAAAAUGGCACUAUAAUGGGUAGCAUAGCAGGAGCUAAAGGAGAAUCACCGAUUCAUAGAGUGUGGGGGAUAUUCCUAACUCUUGGAAACAUUGCCUUUGCAUAUGCAUAUUCUACUAUUCUCAUUGAAAUUCAGUGAUUGGUGUCUUGCUUGACCUUUCCAAAUUCAAGCCAUUCAACUCACAAUUAUAGGACUCAAAUUAAAGCUCUCUCUAUAUAUAUAUGCCUUUGGUUUUUGUAUUACUUGUUUAAUUAUUCAUUCACUCAUUGAGUGAUUUUGUUAUUAUCACACAGUGUAUGUAUGUAAAGGAGGAUUUGUUAUUACAUACUCAAGGAGGAUGUUUCCGGCUGCUAUAAAGGCCAUAAAGUCUCCUAGCUUUACUCUUAAAACUGAUGGAACACCAUUUUGGCCUGAACCUCCUAACACAUAGUUUAAGGUUGCAACAAAGUUUAAUUUUCUGGGAAGUUGUGUCAUUGGGGGAGUUAAAACAUAAAACAUAAAACCUUGGUUUCUCAUCAUAAUUUCUCUUAACUUCUUCAAAUUUUACCUCUAUCUUCUUUAAUUCUUAUACAUUCAUAUUUAUCUUACAAAGUGCAUGUACAAACAAUAAAUAAAUAAAGCCUUAUUUAUUUUUGUGUUGGUCUUAUUUUUCAUAAUAAUUAAGAAACAUGGUUGAGAAGGUUGCCGCCACCGCCACUACCACCACCAAGAACCACCACCAAUCAUUUGAUCUCUCCAUUGACAUGCAUCAGCAAUGAGGCUCAAUAAUAAUGUUAUUACUUACCGGAUCUUUUGAUCGUCGUCAAACAACUUGGAGCCUUUUUGUUGAUGCAUGUCAAUGGAGAGAUCAAAUGAUUGGUAGUGGUUCUUGGUGGUAGUGGCGGCAGUGGCGGCAACCUUCUCAACCAUGUUUCUUAAUUAUUAUGAAAAAUAAAACCAACACAAAAAUAAAUAAGGCUUUAUUUAUUUAUUGUUUGUACAUG